GUGCUAACAUAUGCCAAUCCUCCUCUUUUUUUGCUGAGGAAGACUGGCCCUGGGCUAACAUCCGUGCCCAUCUUCCUCCACUUUAUAUGGGACACCGCCACAGCAUGGCCCGACAAGCGGUGCGUUGGUGCACGCCCGGGAUCCGAACCGGCGAACCCCGGGCCGCCGCAGCGGAGCACGCACUUAACCGCUUUCGCCACUGGGCUGGCCCGGACACCAUCCUCUGAGUGUAGACUUCCCUGCUUGAACUGGUCAUUUGGAUGUUGCCCCAGGUGGCCUCUUCUGUCUUCGGGCUGCCUGGGUUUGUGCUCAUCCCUUGUUCCUGAGCUUGACUUCGGGGAAGCAGGGGCUGUGAUGGAGGCUGAGAUGUGUGAGGGGACCAAGACUUUGUCCAAGGACGGGUUUCCUCCUGGGCACUGAGGAGGUGCCAUCGCUCAUGGUGGGUAAGCUGACAGCAGAUGAGGCAGCCGUGGAAGCUCUCAGGGCACUGCAACGACCUCUCAGCGAGCCCUGUUGACUCCCAGGAUGUCAGUGCUGGAAGGGACCCUGCACAGUACCGGUGAGAAAUCAGAGGCACGGGACGUGAAGGCAGCCACCCAAGGCUGUGCAGCUAGCAUGGAGGUGUGCAGAGACCUCAAAGUCAUUACCCGGGUUUCUCCGUAUAUGAGAAAAUGAAAACAAAACACAACAAAACCUAGCCUUGCUGGCAGCCAGACCACAAUGUUCUCAACUGAACAUAGACAACGCCCACAGAAUAGGAACGUCGCGCUGCAAGGACUCUCCGCGUUGGUGUUUGCAACAAGACAGAGGACGCCACUCUGAAACCGAAAACGUGACUAAACAUACCCCACCUCCCCCUGACAGGAGUGAUUGCUGCUCCUGCACCAAUGCCAGCUCUAGCCCUGCCUGCUAGAACAUUUUUGAUUAAAUUAAGCAGCAACAAGUUAACAGUAAUUAAUUAUUAGAUUAUGAAGAUACUGAUCAUCGGAUGGCCCCCCUCCCCCUUUGACAGGAUCCUAUCCAGAAUUGCCCUUGCUUCCCAACUCUUCCUUAGUCUUAGCCUGCACAAGCCCAAAUCUUCUCAGAAGCCCCUCCCAACUCCUCGUGCCAGGAUGCCCCUGGGUUUCUUUGGAGUGCGUCCUCCCUUGCUGCAGCAAGUGAAA